UUACUCACCCUCAUGUUGUUUGUUCUCCACAGCAAGAGAUGUUCUUCUUCUGCUCUUCUCUGUUCAAUGAAAGUUAAUGGGAGCAGAUCGAAGACAUACUGGUCUGCAUCAAGGGACAGUGGAAUGCAGGAACGAGAGACCAGUCAAGAGAGGACAGCUGCAUGUGUUUAAGCAUGGAAAAGGCAUGUGAAUAGCCUGGGACCAAAGACAGGUCCUGGGAGAAGAGACAGCAGUCUGCGCUGAAACUGAACCCUGCAUUCCUCACAUGCUUCAGGGGCACAAUAGCUCUCUUUACAGCAUGCAGUCAAAAAUUGCCUGGAAGUGAUGCAGUGGAACAGCAGCUGAACAUUCCUGUUCUUCUCAAACGUGUUGGACCACUUUGGUCCAGAUAGUUUUGUUUGGGGUAAGCUUCAUUUUAAGUACUAACCCAAAUAGUUUUUAUUAAAUCUUCUAUUCAAAAUGAAGUGUGUGUGAAAUAGGGUGCUCACACUUCCUGACUAGAGAUCUUCCAAGAGUUUCUUUAAUUUUCAUUUGCGAUUACUGAAUAGUUCUAUGUAAUUUUAAAAAUAUAGAGAAUUCAGAAAUUUUAAAAAUGAAUUCAGGUAAAC